UUUCUCCAAUGGUUACAGUUCCGUUGAUGUAGCAUCCCGUCUAAUCUAUUGCAUCCUUGUUCUUCCUCAAGGAUGCUCUCUGUUCUUAUUUAAUCUGUGACGCAUUUCAUAUGAUUUCUUGUACAAUUUCUGUCGUAAUGUUGUUUACGCGAAUUAGUGGAUGAGGAUGAAGCAAUUACUAUUAAUCCAACACUUGAUCUGAGAUAAUGUAAUCAUUAUCUGUUGAUGCUACUGUUAGCUUCUGAAUCUACUUUUGUCUAUCAAUCCAUCUCUCCGUUUACUUCGCUGUUAUUUUUUCUUUUCCUAGUUUUCUAAUGCUGAAUGCAUAAAUUUUAAUCUGUGUUGCGAUUAACCGCUGCACCUGGAUUACAGUAUUCAAGCUUGCGUGUUUUCGUCACUAUCAUUUGUUUUGAAAUAAUCUAAUCCAAAUUGUAGUUACAA